rnacentral:lncRNA from 1 species
AACAAUUCAAAGACUCUCUUUGAAAGAAAACAAACUUUUAUUAAAUCAAUGAUAAUGGGUGCCAUACAAUGAAUUCGAGACUGAGCUUUUAUAGGCUCAUAAACAACAGUCUAAAGAAGCUAAUUGAGGGAAAUAAUCGAAAAAUAUAAAGAAUAUGGACGUUGGAGCUUUGAUGACAAAAUCGGCCAAAUAAGGAAAUGUCUUGAGCUUUGUAUCUAGAGAGCUUGGGAAGAAAGGUGAGACUUCUUGGAACAUUCUGGGACGUGUGGAGAGUCUUCAAAAUGCAGCAUCUUUGGUAGAUAAAGAGCCGUUGGUGGUUUAAAGCUCCUAGUGUGAAUGCGUCCAGAAAAGGAAAGUAGAAUUGUGAAAGGAUCCGCCUGAUCCUAUGGGUUUUGGUGCAUGGGAAGAAUUAUUCUAGAUGUUUAAGAGUCUCUCCUGGUCGCCAAUGAUAGUUUUGGAGUGAACCAAAUAUGGAAUGAUCCAUUUUUGGCAACAUAUGGCCCGAGGGUAAGGCCAAAUGAGUAACUCCUAAAACAACUCGAACCCGGGGUGAUUUAGCUCGCCCAUUCUUCAUAAAAUGUGCAUAAUAAUGCUGAAUGUCAAAUCUAGGUCGAGGAAAUGUGACGUUGGGUCGAUGAUAUUGUAGUUGGCUUGAUCCGGGUGGGUCUUCUUGGCGCUCGAGUUGAUUGGUUCGAUAGUUUUUGAUUCCGUCUCGCCCAAAUGUCUUGAAAUAUGUAACUUGACGGUGAAUAUUCAAUAUGGGUCGGUAAAAGUCUUGAUCCGGUCGGUGGAUUUGAGUUUUGUGUGCUCCGGGUGAGUCAUUGUGGACCAACUUCGAUUCGGCAUGGUGAUUUAUGAUUCCAGCUGAAUCAAUACUCUUCUUAGGAUAUAUUUCUUUGUAAAUUUCCAAUCCUAGGCCAGGUGCUUGAUCAGAACUUGAUUUGCGCCAAAAUUCUCCUUUUUGUCCGGUUUGGUUUGGUUGAGGAUUGAACCGGCUGGUCUAUUUAACUGCGGGUCUAGUUUGGUUCCGAUGUCCACAUCAUACCCUCCCUCUUCAAAAAGUUUUGACCUCAAAACUGUUUCACCUGCACCAAGAGAAAACAAGUUAGGUUUCAUUCGCUUUUGGGAGUUUAGAUAGUUACCUCGGCUUUGAUUCGUUGUAGAAUGUUGGGAUGAGUCGGGUGGUUUAUCUUUGUUUAUAAUGUGACAUUUAAACACAUUUUCUUGAUGCUGGGACAAAUUUGUAUCCUUCUUCGUGAAAUCUCCUAUUCCACUCUUUAUUUCUCCAUGAAGUUCUCCUUGAAUCUUGAUAUGUUGAGGUGAAUCCGGUGGCUCCUCUUUGACCAGUACAGUGUCAAUGACACGUCUAGCAUAUCCUUUUGUUGGCGUGAGCAAAACUGACUCCAUAAUGCCUUGGUUAUGUUGUUCACUUGAGACUACGAUUUCUUUUGAUGGUACAUCUCCUUGGUAAUAGCAUUUCACCAUUGUACCUGCACCUCUAUAGACACUAAAAGGCAAGAACAAGUGCAUUAUACUUGAAAUUGAAAUUUUAAAAACAUAGAAUUGGAGACUACGAAUUAAUAUGAAAUGAUUCCCGUAUUUAUCAAAGUCUUGAAUCACAGUUACUUGGAAGAUAUGGCAAUGAUUAUGCACGAAUUUCAUCUUAAUAAAAGCCUCUUUUUGGUUGAUAAAGCUCUGUUCUAGACCGUGGGGUGGUGGUUGUUCCUCUAGGAUAGCUUGGUUACCUUCGGCUUCUCGAAAACUUUGUUGUGACAAUGCUCUCGAGUGGUUCUCUUCCUUACCUAUACCUUUGUCAACUUCUUUUUGACAAAACAAGUGUAUUAUCAUAGAAUUUAAAGGUUUAAAAUCAGAAAGAUUCGGGUGAAGACUUACCUUCGGGAUAAUUUCAUGUUUUGUUUCCUUAGACAACAUGGUGUGUCGAUCUUGCUUUUGAUCCGUGGUAAAGACUUCUAUUUCUGGUUCUUUUCUUUCAACCAUGUAUUCCUCCUUAGUUUCUGGACCUGUUUCAAUUCCCUUGGACAAAGACAAGUGCAUGAUACUAGUAUUUAAAAUUUUUAAAUCUGUUUCAACUCGUUUUUCUUUUACAUUGGGAUUUUCUGUUUUUGGCUCCAUGAGGGUUACUACUCGUCUAGUUGGGCACUCCUUUGCUUUGUGUCCUCUGUUUUGACAUCGAUAACAAGUCACUUCAAAUAAAUUCAAAGUACUAGAAGACUUACCUUGAUUCGUUUUGCCUUGUGGUUCACAUAAAGACGUGAUGAUUGAGUUUUGUUGAAUCUCCUUCACUUGUACAGGUUUCUUAGCCUCUGAUUUCUUUGAUAAAGUGUUUGGGAACACUUUUAUUGGCUCAUGGAGAGGGAAAGCAUUCUUGUUCACCACUUUGGAGCUCGACUUUUGUUGAUUCUGCCUCUUUGAAUUCGUUGGUGUUACACCUUUGUCAUUGUGGUGAGCUUGGGCAGAAGCGUUCUUCACAAAUUCACCAUACAUGAGCUUUCUCAUCUCCUUCCAAGAGUAAGCUAGAUCCUUGAAGUGAAUACGUGUAGUCUCUAUCUCAUCCCACCAAUCAUAAGCUCCUCCGGUUAAAGCAUCUUCCGCAUAGGAUGUUUUCUUUUUCUCCGGGACGUGGUACCUUUCAAACCAGUCCAUUAAGGCUGCUUCCCACCGUAGGUAUGCUUCUGGUCCCUCCUUAUGACCUGAAAAAGUUAAAGGGUCUGAACUAAUUUUCCCUCUCUUGCUAAGGUAGUUGUCUCUCGUCUUUGGUCGAGGUGAAAUUGAUGGAACUCGGUGUGACAAAAUUGUUUGGAGAGACUUCUCUUCACGAUGUGGGGAAUGGUAGUGUUGAUCCUCAUGGUAAUAUCCCUCACAGUCCUCAUAAUACCCUAAACUUGGUUGGCUCCAUUUGGUCGUUGCUUGAGGCAUGUAAGUGUAAGGCUCGGCACGUUGACUAGAUGGAUAACAAUCAGGUGGCUCCGGCUCCAGUUCUUCACCAUCAGGUUCUUCUCCACAAUCAGAACUGGAAACACAUUCCUCAUACCACGUUUGUCUCCCAUAGUCAUUCUCCUCUUCUAUCAUGUCUUCGUACUCAUCCUCGUCUUGGUUCCAAUCACCUUCAUAGGAGUCAAUCUCUUCUUUCUUCAUAUAAUAGGACGCCAUUGCUCUGGUCCUUCUUAUUUGUUUGUCCUAAAACAAAGAAUAAGAAAGUGUAUCAACCUUUAGAUCAACAAAUAUGGCAAGAAAGAGUCAAGACACAAAAAUUAUGGAAAUUUGAUAUUUCUUUUUACUUUAAAAAAAUAAAAUCGAAAAAUUCAAACAACAAAAGGAAAAAAAAAUGAUUUAUAUUUUCUUUUUUUUUGAUUUAAUAAAAUAAAUUACGAAAAUUAAUUUAAAAUAAACAAGAAAGACAAUUUUUAUUGGAUUUUUCUUUUAAACCGAAAUUAAAAGUAAAUAAAAAAAGAACACAAAUAAUAAUUUUUUUUUUUUUGGUUUUAAAAUGAUACUGAAACAAAUUCAAAACACAAAAACAAAAGGACGAAACAAAUUUUUAUUUUGGUUUUUGACUUAAUGAAAAUUAAAACAACAAAAACUGAAAAAUCGAAAAGAUAAAGGUUGGAUGAACACAACCUGGAUUUGAUAGGAGCUUUGAGCUCUGAUACCAGAUGAUAUAAGAUUGGAAUCCACCAAAUCUUAUUGAUCACAAGAUGUCAAGAGUUGAAAAGCUUUCACGCGGAAAUGGGCGUUGGUAGAGAUGGAGAUGGAGUUUGCGAUUGAUUCCACAAUCACACACGAACAAGAAGACUUGAUUCCACAAGUAAUCUGAUCCGUAAUCAAUAGAAAAGAAGUGAUUCCACACUUAGAUUCUAAAGAAAAGAACAAGAACAAUUCAAAGACUCUCUUUGAAAGAAAACAAACUUUUAUUAAAUCAAUGAUAAUGGGUGCCAUAUAAUGAAUUCGAGACUGAGCUUUUAUAGGCUCAUAAACAACAGUCUAAAGAAGCUAAUUGAGGGAAAUAAUCGAAAAAUAUAAAGAAUAUGGACGUUGGAGCUUUGAUGACAAAAUCGGCCAAAUUAGGAAAUGUCUUGAGCUUUGUAUCUAGAGAGCUUGGGAAGAAAGGUGAGACUUCUUGGAACAUUCUGGGACGUGUGGAGAGUCUUCAAAACGCAGCAUCUUUGGUAGAUAAAGAGCCGUUGGUGGUUUAAAGCUCCUAGUGUGAAUGCGUCCAGAAAAGGAAAGUAGAAUUGUGAAAGGAUCCGCCUGAUCCUAUGGGUUCUGGUGCAUGGGAAGAAUUAUUCUAGAUGUCUAAGAGUCUCUCCUGGUCGCCAAUGAUAGUUUUGGAGUGAACCAAAUAUGGAAUGAUCCAUUUUUGGCAACAUAUGGCCCGCGGGUAAGGCCAAAUGAGUAACUCCUAAAACAACUCGAACCCGGGGUGAUUUAGCUCGCCCAUUCUUCAUAAAAUGUGCAUAAUAAUGGUGAAUGUCAAAUCUAGGUCGAGGAAAUGUGACGUUGGGUCGAUGAUAUUGUAGUUGG